rnacentral:rRNA from 1 species
UACAGAGGUGGCAAGCGUUGUUCGGAAUUACUGGGCGUAAAGGGCGCGUAGGCGGCCUCCUAAGUCAGACGUGAAAUCCCCCGGCUUAACCUGGGAACUGCGUCUGAUACUGGGAGGCUAGAGUGCGGCAGAGGAGACUGGAAUUCCUGGUGUAGCAGUGAAAUGCGUAGAUAUCAGGAGGAAUACCGAUGGCGAAGGCAGGUCUCUGGGCUGACACUGACGCUCAUGCACGAAAGCGUGGGGAGCAAACAGG